rnacentral:rRNA from 1 species
UACGAAGGGGGCUAGCGUUGCUCGGAAUCACUGGGCGUAAAGCGCACGUAGGCGGAUUGUUAAGUCAGGGGUGAAAUCCUGGAGCUCAACUCCAGAACUGCCUUUGAUACUGGCGAUCUCGAGUCCGGGAGAGGUGAGUGGAACUGCGAGUGUAGAGGUGAAAUUCGUAGAUAUUCGGCAAGAACACCAGUGGCGAAGGCGGCUCACUGGCCCGGUACUGACGCUGAGACGCGAAAGCGUGGGGAGCGAACAGG